rnacentral:rRNA from 1 species
GGGGAAUUUUGGACAAUGGGCGCAAGCCUGAUCCAGCCAUGCCGCGUGUCUGAAGAAGGCCUUCGGGUUGUAAAGGACUUUUGUCAGGGAAGAAAAGGCUGUUGCUAAUAUCGACAGCUGAUGACGGUACCUGAAGAAUAAGCACCGGCUAACUACGUGCCAGCAGCCGCGGUAAUACGUAGGGUGCGAGCGUUAAUCGGAAUUACUGGGCGUAAAGCGAGCGCAGACGGUUACUUAAGCAGGAUGUGAAAUCCCCGGGCUCAACCUGGGAACUGCGUUCUGAACUGGGUGACUGGAGUGUGUCAGAGGGAGGUAGAAUUCCACGUGUAGCAGUGAAAUGCGUAGAGAUGUGGAGGAAUACCGAUGGCGAAGGCAGCCUCCUGGGAUAACACUGACGUUCAUGCUCGAAAGCGUGGGUAGCAAACAGGAUUAGAUACCCUGGUAGUCCACGCCCUAAACGAUGUCAAUUAGCUGUUGGGCAACUUGAUUGUUCAGUAGCGUAGCUAACGCGUGAAAUUGACCGCCUGGGGAGUACGGUCGCAAGAUUA